GUGCUCACUUCGACAGCACAUACGCUAGAACUGGAACCAUACAGAGAUUAGCGUGAGCCCUGUGCAAGGACUACAGGGGAAUUCCUGAAGCGUUACAUAUUUUU